GUCACGUGUUAGGCCGGAAGGCGGAAGGCGAGGUCCUGGAGCUGGGACCCGGAUGAUGGUGACUUACCAGGGAGAGUCUACCCUCCUGUGGAAGAAUUGAGGUUGGGGGCAAACCGACACAGACCCUUGAAACCUGUCCCCAUGCAGUUAAAGGAUGUUCAAAAAUGGGGUGGAAGAUGAACAAAUACAAUUGAGGAUGAGCAUUAGAAACAAAUGUAAAUGAAAAAGAUCUGCUUCACAUAGUUGGGUGCUCCCAUAGUCACGUCCCUGUGUGUUGUUGGAUUUAGACAGGAUCCCAGCAAAAUGGAAAGACAAAAGUGUUAUUGGCUAAUGAAAACAAGAAUUCCUAGAAAGAAGCUGUUUGCAAAGUCGGGUCAACUAAUAAAACUUUUUUUACUUUGAA
rnacentral:sRNA from 1 species